rnacentral:sRNA from 1 species
GUCUAGCCCUGAUGGAAGCGGUAUCCUUUUAUCCGCCUUUUUUAGGCGGGGAAAGAUACAGCGUACAGCAGGAAAUAGC